rnacentral:lncRNA from 1 species
UAAUCCUCCCCCUUGGCACCUGAACCGGACCUUGGUCUCAUUCUCACACUUUCCUUGCCCCUUCUUCACUUGGAAUCUCUCCCCAAAUCAAGCCGAUACUACAUUCAUUCAUUCAUUCAUAAACCCCUUUCUUCUUCUUCGCCGUUUCAUCCUGAUCAGUAAAAUCUCAGCAGAUUGAUUAACUCCAUCAGUAUAUCCACAUUGAACUGAAUUAGACAAGAAGGAAGAGAAAAAGAGAGAAAGAUUAUAGUUUUAGUACGCGG